rnacentral:rRNA from 1 species
CCUACGGGAGGCAGCAGUGAGGAAUAUUGGUCAAUGGGCGCGAGCCUGAACCAGCCAAGUAGCGUGAAGGAUGACUGCCCUACGGGUUGUAAACUUCUUUUAUAAACGAAUAAAGUGCGGCACGUGUGCCUUUUUGUAUGUACCUUACGAAUAAGGAUCGGCUAACUCCGUGCCAGCAGCCGCGGUAAUACGGAGGAUCCGAGCGUUAUCCGGAUUUAUUGGGUUUAAAGGGUGCGUAGGUGGGUUGUUAAGUUAGUGGUGAAAGUUUGCGGCUCAACCGUGAAAUUGCAAUUGAUACUGGCAGGCUUGAGUGCAGUUGAGGUAGGCGGAAUGCGUGGUGUAGCGGUGAAAUGCUUAGAGAUCACAAAGAACACCGAUUGCGAAGGCAGCUUACUAAACUGCGACUGACAUUGAUGCUCGAAAGUGUGGGUAUCAAACAGGAUUAGAUACCCCUGUAGUC